GCGCAUGCACAUUAAAUGAGUGAGAAGAAAGACGUCACAUCCGUUUUUGUCAAAGUCGUUGGCAAAAAUGGCUGCGUUUUCUGAAAUGGGCGUUAUGCCUGAGAUCGCCCAAGCAGUCGAGGAGAUGGACUGGCUCCUCCCCACAGACAUCCAGGCAGAGUCCAUUCCGUUGAUCCUGGGUGGAGGCGAUGUACUCAUGGCGGCAGAGACCGGAAGCGGUAAGACCGGGGCCUUCAGUAUCCCAGUGCCAGAUAGUGUAUGAGACUCUGAAGGACCAGCAGGAGGGGAAGAAGGGAGGACCACUGUGAAGACUGGUGGAGCAAGUAUGACAGACAGACAUCUC